AUGCCAUUAUACAGCCUUUACUUUACACCAGCGGUCGGCAACCUUUUAGCGGCCGAGGGCCACGUAGUAGUUGAGGAAGUUGACGUGGGCCGCACUUUUGUUAAUAUGUGUGACUUUAUCAGACAUUGAUGUUUGACAAUAUUACAUACGAAAUACCCAGGGGGCUCGCAGGCCGCAAGCGAGAAGUUCCCAGGCCGCUUGUUGCUGACCGUUAGACUAUUUACUUAUCCUAACGGCCAACUUUACUGUUUCGCGAACUGUUUCCAUUAAUCCGAACUGAACUGUUUUAAUAUCUAUAUCUAAAUAAAACAUCCCUAAACAGUAUGCGAAAAAAAGAAUUAAAAUGGCGGAACCAAGCGAGGCGGAUACUAUAAUUAACUUUAGAUACCGUAAUGAAAUUACUGACUUUCGACGCUUCCUUUACUAAUAUUCCUCAUUUCAUUCAAAGUCAAUUUGUAAACAACAUUCAUUCCAGUAUACUGUAAAAUUAAACUAUGCAGGGCCUUGUAUCAAAAAUUAUUAAUCGUUCUGACUUAGUUUUAAAAAUAUGAUUGUUUGAUUGUUUUAAAAGUAUAUAAACUUGCUACAAAGCUGUAUCAAUCAAAAACAAUUCAGUUUGCUCCUUAUUCCAUAAAAAUAAAAUCUGACCAAGUAACAGACAGAAAUUUUGAAUAACAAGGCCCUGUUAAGUUUAACUAUAGGUACCUUGAACGAUGAACAUGACGUCAAAUUGCGAAUUUUCUCAGUAUUUCAUUGUUUUCAAUGAAACAGAAAAAAAAUCGCACUAAAAGUGUUCGCCAUGUUUCCGACGCCAAGCUUUAAAACGCAUUUCAUAUUUGCCAACCACAACAUUGCAUCUCUUUUCUUUGGCAUAAAAAAAUUAGAGAUGCAAUUAUUCAGCCUUUGGCCUUAUAAAGUUAGUCAAAACAGGGCCAAUGUUUCAUUAGUAACUUAUCUUUGUUUCAUAUAGUACAAGUUUAUAGGGUUUUUAUACUAAUGAAAUAUCGAACCCCUUAAGUAAAUAUACUCGAAGUGCCGAUUUCGAAUCCUACAAGAAAUUUUAACAUAUGCAUUACUGCAUACGGUUUGUGUCUGUACCUUUUAAGGCCUAAUUGCAUAGUGUCCUACAAAAAAACCUUGCUGAUCGACAAAUCUUAAAAAAACUUGAGUCCGUCUGAACCAUAUGACUAGGAAUCCUCUAGACCGAAUUUAGAGCAAUUAUUUCAUGCAAAUGAUGAUGCCAAAAAUGCGAGGGUGCGCGGGACGAGGCGAGCGAAGUCCCGUGCCGUGAUUGGUCCGUCCAAAGACACGGACGUCACACAAAGACACUUUCGACUCGAACAUGGAGUAAAAUUACCGUAUGCGUGGCAGAGGGGGUAGCGCGACUAUGCUCAGUCUGGAGGAUGUUUUGUCUGUAGCCACUCACAUGCUUGAUAUUUUUCAGUGACCUCUAUUAUUAUAGUAAAAUAAGGGUGACAGCUGGUAGCUACAGUUACCAAAAGCAUGUGAGUGGGUAGUCUGAACACCCAGACUGUCAGUCAUAAAGUGUGGUAUAGGUAGAAGACCACACCACACUUUAUGACUGACAAAAGCUCGGAAUUUAGGUAAAAAAAAACUUUUUGAGUAAAUUAAAUUCUUUGUAGGAGUACGAAAUCGGCCACUUGUCUAGUUUAAUACGGCGUUGAUGCAACGCCGAAAUAUUAAUAAUUACAAUAAUAAACCAAAAAUUGGCUUCUUUAUUGCAUCUCUACUAGCAUAAGAGCAUUUUCUAUAUCAUAUUAUUUAGGUAAGUUACGAGUAGAGUAAUGUAAAAUGUUUCUAUAGUUCAUGUGUAGAUACAUGAGACGUGUGUGCGUCAUAGUUUAAAUGCUUCAUACAAAUUAAUAUAUGAGUGAUUGCAAAAAGGGCGGUUCGGUCAAGUUUUGAUGUGUAAAUAAGUUAAUUAUAUUUUGACUACCAAGAUCUUAAAAGCAUGUAAAUGAAAAAUCACGUGACUUGCCCCCUUAUUCAUAAAACUUUACGGGCCUGAUUUAGUAAAUGUAUAUUUCAUCCAUAGUCUAACAAAACAUGGUCUUCUCUUCCCAGAGUGACACAAGCCUACGUCACAAUAACAUUGCCACUUUGUAUAGCGCUAUCGCAUAUUAUCAUAUAGCGCUGUCGCAUGAUGACGUAGGCUUGUGUCAGUCACGUGACCACGAAAAGACGGGAAGAGAGUACCAGGCGGAGUAUAUUAUUAUACCAUGGUUUCAUCCAUUUCUUACAAAUACAUAAGUCAAAAUGACAGAUAAAGACAAACGAUUAUUAGCUAAGUGAGGCAUGGAGCGCGUUUAUGAAUAAGGCUAGUCGUUAAGCAGAUGAUGUUAUAGAUAUAUAAUGGUACAUACCUCAUUGGCCGAAUGACCUAGUCAUGUGGUUUAUUUAGUUUACAAGUUUUUAAGAUCUAUAUUAAAUAGAUUAUAGAUUCCUAAAUAAUAUAGGUAGGAUCUGCCAAAACGCCAUAGAUUCUUUUUUUAUAAAAUGACUGUGGAUUCUGAGUGUGUAUAGUUAUUAUUUAGAUUUAUUAUACAGUAGUCGAAUAAUAAUUUGCUCUUGACUACGGAAGAUGAUUAUAAGUAGGUACUUUAUUAUAACUUUGACCUUUUGUAAACUUCUUGGUCUAUAAAUGGUUAAUAAAAACUUCCCUUUUUGCAAUUGUCAAUCUUAACACAUUUUAUACACACCAGUACGCAUAUACGUUGUGAUGUUUGGCCACGUAAGUUAUAUGUAAGUCAUUCAGGGAAGUCGCGGGUCGGGGGAUUUUGUACUUUUUUAUAAAAGGGCAUAGUGCCCUAGUAAUACCUAUAUAAUACCGGAGACUAGAUAGUUGCAAAGUUAAAGAAAAACAUGACGUGAAUAAUUUUACUAUGAUUUUCUCUCGUUAAAUCUAAACGGUUUGGGCGUUUUGAGGAGGGUUCCUAUACAAAUCGUCUGAUAGUAUAUGGUUUUGUGUAGUAAUACAAUUAAAUAUCUAUGCAUCUAUGGUAAGAUAAACCAGAGAAUGACAUGUGAAUGGCUAAUUUGCCAUGGAACAAUGGAGGUAGCCUGUCACGGUCGCCAUGUAAGGUGCCAAAAUGAAAGAACAACCUAAUGAUGAGUAAAUACUAAUUUAUUUAGAAUUAUAUCGGAUAAACAUGUGGCCAGUGGCUACGAUAUUCCCUACACGCGUCACGUUUUUCUUUAAUUCUGCCACUAUUACAAUGUCUCUGUUUAAACAAAGUCAAUGAGACAAAAUAGUUUAUUCUGAUGCAUAAAUCACUAUAUUAUUUCGUCUUAUUGACGUUGUUUUGCGUAGAAUAAAGUCUGAUUAGGAACGCGUAGACUGUUUCAGCAACUAUAGUCUUUUGACAACGAAUUAGGUCCCAGUGCGAGGGAGACGGUCGCAGUUCAAACUGACAUUCAAUUAUUUUUAUUUAGUAUUUAGUAACCAUAACCCGAGCUAUAUUUCAAAUAAAUAACUAUAAGAUCUCGGUUUCAUAAUAGUUAUUUAUUUGAAAUGUAGCAUAGUUUAAGUUCUGAUUUUAUAUCCCAGCCCACAUACCUACUAAAAUAACAGUGCAUUGAAAAUUUUCCUAAUCAUCCUGGUUUUGUGCCAAUUUUGUACUAAAAUUACAGAUUGGUUGGACAUUUUGACUCAAUCGAACUAUAAUUUUUAGUAUCUACCAGUUUUUAGUGUCUUUUUGUAUAUGUAGUUCUUCAUAACUCAGAUAAAUGUACAGCACUUAUAAAUAAAACAUUCCCUUAAAAACUUUGACGACCUGGAAACAUAUCGUGACUACUUUGAAAAAUACUCGUAUCUUGUUCUAUCAAUGAAAAGAAAAAUGUGGUAACUAUGUCUGGGAUGCAAAUAGAGUUUACUGCGUUUUAACACUUAACUUUGAGUAGCAGUGCGAGAUACGAGAUUUUAUCGAAGUAGUGACGAUAUAAAAAAAAAAUAUUUUACUAUAACUUUUUUACUAUCUAAAGUGUGGACUUAGCAAUCUUAGCAUCAAGGUUUUUUGCCACUGUCUUAAAAAAAAGAUGUCGUUUGAACUGCGACGGGUAGGAUUGGAAUCUCAGAUUUCCGCUGAUGUGACUCUCACUAGUCAUAACGCCGGCAUCACAAUCAGCGCUUCGCUUUACAUUAUAACAUUUAUAACUGUCAGAUUAUACAUUACAUUUUAUUUACGCGGUUAUCACACGGCGCGAGCGAGACAGCGAUAUGCACAUAUAGCGAUGUCUCGCUCCGACCAAUGUGAAGACCGCUUUAAUAUACGACGGGUGCGGGAAUCGUAUAUGUCUAUGUUGAAAUUGUGUAAAAGUAGACCUAAUGUUGUUGCUGUAAGGUAUAAAAUAGUGGAACUACUUAAUGAACUUUAUAGUCAGGAAAAAGAACAAAAAAUAUAUUAUAAUUUUAAUAUGCCGUGGAUGAAGAGUAAUACUUAAGCUGUGUAAGGUUUGGGGCAAUUCUGUAAACAUUAGGGCAAAUGUAAUUACUUUAGAAUUAUAACUAAUCAUUUAUAGAUUAUUAUGGCGAAUUUUGCCAGUCAGGAUUAGACAAAAAACUUUGGAAGUGCAUCUAUAACCCUUACCUAUUAGUUGUUUUCUAGUAUGUAUAUUUGCCCUAACGUUGAUAAAAACAUAGGUGUAUACGAUUCCUGUAUAUUUUUGUGUGAAAUGAACGACGGCAGCUGUUGUGUUGUUUUUUUUAUAUAUAUUUAUGUUAAUUUUGUAGAUAUUUUAAUUUUAACGCAAUAUAUCACAUCGAUUUGUAUUUUGGACUGAUGUAUGAGUUUAGUGUGGAUGUGGUUUGUAUACAGUCGUGGGUAUUGACCGUAUUAGGAACAGUCUUGACUGCCCAUUAUGGAGGUCCAUCUCACAAUUCGUUAACCUUAUAGAAAAGAGGUGGACUCGGAAUAAUCUUAAAUAUCGUGUGCCCAUCAAUGAUAUCAUAUAACUAUAGAUAGGUUAUAUUGGUUCAUAAGCAGCACAAGCAUAAAAAAUACUUCCAUAUUUUUUUCUAUACCUGCGAAGAAAUCUGUCAUUUUUUAUUUAUACUCGCAUUCCCUCUUUCAUAUUUGUUGUGUUGUUCGUGUGUCUCUUUCUCUUUUGGUGUGCGGGAGCUCGUUAGCGCGUGCACAUCUCUCGCUUGCCUAGGCACGACUAAAGGCAACUUGUACAAUUUGUACAAGGUAAGCGCUUCAAUUUUGGAACGCCUAUAACCUAUCUUUAGUUAUAAUGUCAUUGGUAUCCAUGUGUCAAGUGUAAAAUUUUGAUGGAUCAUCUUUUCGAAAAUAUUUCACAUUCAGUUUCAAUUUUAUGCUCGCAAUUUUAUGUUCUUAUUGUGGGAAUGUGCAGUUUUAUUUAAAUUCUAACUAUUCCUAGCCUAGCAACUACAGGAUUGUGUAUCGUCCAAGUAAGAGCUCCAAUAUAAUGUAUAUGUUUAGGGUACAUUCGGAUACUUUUAUAGUUAAAAAUCCCAUUACGUAUUUAAAUAUCAUGAAAAAGUUAAUAUGAGUUACUUUACCUGAGAAACAUCUUUAUAUUCGGUAGUUGCGAAUGAAAAUUACUUCAUUGGUAUCCAAAUGUACUUCAAAGAAAUUAUAAAAGUGUAUCAGGUCAGGUGGGGUAAAAGGAAGAAAGUUUAUUCUGCACGGGGUAAGAAAUAGAAUUAUGAUUCCAACAUUUUUGCAAUUUUUUAAGCAUCAGGCUUAAAAUAAUUCUAGACGAACCAAAAUAGUAAGAAAAACCCGUACCCAGCUUUUUUAAAUAAUGCCCCAGCAUUCGUUUACACCGCCUAUCUUCAUAUUGGCAGCGAUUACAUUUUGUAUUGACACUUUCAACUGAAUAAUAUUAUUUUUAUACAACAUUUUGCUUAGCAGAGACAUGCACCAAGAAUAGGGUUUUGUAUGUAGAAUAAGAUAUAGAACUGUAUAGAUCGAUCUCUAUGUGACACGCACUGAAUGUGUGUUGAGUAAACAACACGCACUGAAUGUGUGUUGAGUAAACGACACGCACUGAAUGUGUGUUGAGUACAGGGUGUUUUCCGUUCGCUUCCAGUAUUUUAUACAAGCAUUUAUUUUCUAUAUGUCCAGGAUUGAAUAGCUAUAGUAUUUAAUUGAGACUCCACAGUAACAUGUACCUUCAUGAAUUUUAUGAGUUAGAAUACAGACAGCUUUUGUGUAGGAAAACACCCUUUUGAUUUUGAAAUUACGUUUGCGAGUUUGGCAUAUGACUUGAGUUAAUUACCUACAGCAAAUAACUUGUCAGUAUUAUCCAAUUUUAAAAUUGAAAUAAUAAUGAUUUAGGAACCAAUACAUUAUUUCGAUGUCGUUCAUUGUUGUGUGUUGACGACAUGUAUGUAUUCUACGCAUUUAAUUGCAAAUAAGUGUCUUUAUGAUGGCGAUAAAUAUAUUGAUAUUGUCAAAAAACCGCAAAACUCAAAUGAUAUGCCAAACGCUUGACGAGAUCUUUUUGAUGUAUUGUACUUUUGUACUCGGUAACGUAGAAUGACAAAUGUAGUGUUGUACAUAUUUUAUAUGAUACCCUAUUAUUGACCAGGAUAUUUAAUAAACAUCGCAAGUCUUACGUUAUACCGUUUACCGCUAUACGUGAAACGAAAACACAUUAAAUAUAAGAAUUGGUUUGAAAUGUAAUUUUUUUUAUAUCAAUGUCAAAUCACUAAACGGACAAUAAAUUCCGAAAGACGCAUUUAAAAAGCCGUAAACGUCGAAACACAUAACUUUGGCAAGAAAUUAUCUAAUAUAAAUAACGCUUAAAAUUUAACAAAGGUUAAAAACCGAUUAACGUAUUAACAAAAUUGUUGUUUGACUUUAAACUGUUAAUUUUAACAGAUGGUUACGUCUUUUUUCCAUCACUCAUCAUAAUUAUAUGGAGCUUAUCAUGUGGCUAUGGCGUAUAAACAUAAAUGAUAUUAGAAUGUAGCUGGUGGUUCAAAUCGAAGGUCGAUUACGUCAGCUAUCUUCGGGCGCACGAGCGCCGAACUAUAAGUUCGUUUUUUUAGCAUUAGAAAUAAGGUAAACAAUCUUGAUGUGUCUUUUAAUUGAAAAAAAAAUCCAUUUUAAAAAUAAGUUACGGCAAAUAUGUAACAAUUAUGAUGAAUCUACGAUCAUUUUCAUCAUAUUCUUCUGCUUUCAUAAGUAAUAGUUUUUGAUUUUUAAAAAGCGUUUUUCAAUCAAAAGACAUGUCAAGAUCGCUUACCUUCUUGCAAGUUCUUUCUAAUGCUAAAAAAACGAAAUAUAACUAGGAGUCGAAGUGGUCGCCAUGACCGAAAUCAGCCGGAAGGAUCAUCAUUAACAGAUCAUUACCAUGAUAGAAUUGACAAAUGCUUGCAGAAAAGGAUGGUUGUAUUAAAUUCUAAACUGCAUUAGUCUUCCUAUUUCGAUAUCGUUCGGCACAAACACUUACGGGUCAUAAAAACGACAAGUGUCAGUCAUAUUUGUUACUAAAAUACAUUUGACAUUAGAUAGCACUAACGUAUCCUUAAAGUUUCACACUCGACUUUAAACCGCGCGGUUUGUAGAUCAAAAUACCGAAGGUUUGAUAUCCGGUGUGGCUCGGAUUAAAAAAGGAAGCUUUACUUAAACAUUGCCAAAAGUAGAGGAAUUACGCAAACUUACAUUCCUAAGCUUACACUAAAAUAAACUGACAUAUUCGAUGUACAUUUCGAAACAAAUUUGUACCUUAAUAAUAACCUAAUUAGGUGCAUUUUUGUUUUCAAAAUUGUAAAGAUUAUGGUCAUUUUGGUACCAAAGUACCUCCACCGGAAUGAAGCUAGCUGUAUUAAAAUAAGGUUAGAGUUAUAGAGUGAUUGAGUUUUUUUUUAUUUUUGUAUUGCUCAAAGUGUAAUUUAAUUUGUAACCAUGUGUUUGUACGUUUUCGUGUAUAUUCCCGUAACGAUGAUAUGAUACCAUUGUAAGUGCAGUGUAUAAUAUUUAACUAUAUAAUUUAUUUAUUAAUUUGCAAAA